CUUUCAAAUACAGGACUCAAGUGGAACAUAAAGAGGCCUCCACAAGCAAUGCUGAAACCCAUCUACCAGGAAGAGAAAUCAGGGCGCUGGGAUCGCCGUGAUGGGGAGCCGGCACUUCACAGAUGCCUUGGAUUACUGGCAUGCCCCACUGCCUUGUCAGAGCCCUGCGCAUUUAAAAAAAAAAAGACUGAAGAAGAAAAAAAAGGUGGCAUUUUCAGAGUGAUGGAAUAUUGCUGGUAAAAGAGGAAGAUUCUGUCCUUGAAGAGUCAGAAUCCCCCGCGCCAUCGGAGGUCAUUAACCUUGAGAUGUGGGUUUCACCUGGACAAACCUUUUUGUUAUAUGCCGUGCCUCCUGAUUUUCUUCAACAGCUGACAAGAGUACCCUGAUACAAGAGAUGUUCCCUUGGUCACUGGCAACACAGGAGAACAGGGAGGCAAAAAAUCAUCAAAGUCAACAAAGUAACCAGCCUCACUAGAGGUAUUCAGUUUCGUGCUCUCCUUGAUAUCAACAUAGUCAACUGGUGAGUAUAAAAAACCAAUUCAGAAAUCUGAGUAUGAAGCA